rnacentral:rRNA from 1 species
GGAUUAGAUACCCUGGUAGUCCACGCCGUAAACGAUGAUCACUCGCUGUUUGCGAUACACAGUAAGCGGCUGAGCGAAAGCAUUAAGUGAUCCACCUGGGGAGUACGAUCGCAAGGUUGAAACUCAAAGGAAUUGACGGGGGCCCGCACAAGCGGAGGAACAUGUGGUUUAAUUCGAUGAUACGCGAGGAACCUUACCUGGGCUUAAAUGUAGAAUGCAUGAUUUGGAAACAGAUCUUUUCUUCGGAACUUUUUACAAGGUGCUGCAUGGUUGUCGUCAGCUCGUGUUG